CCAGCUCCGUGACGUCAGGACGCGACUACGGAACUCGCGUGAGGAGACGAUUUGCGUCAUCAGAGAUUGUGUUCUUUUGGUGCAAAAUGGCGCUGGUGAUGCCGGGAGAAACAUCCAUAGUUUGCAUCCAAUAAGCAAACUUAUUGGCCAGGACAAGUCUCCAUACACUUACCAUGGUUCUGCCUUAACAAAAUUACUCAGUUUCAGUCUGCCUCUCCAGCAGUAGUUUGACAGUGGAGAAAUCAUUUGCAAGUUUAAUCAACUCUCAAGUUAAAAACAAUUAGGCAUUUUCUCAUCAAGACUACAUCUUCAGAGAAAGUCAUCAGGAGAUGUCCUCCCUCUGGGAUGAAGCAAUUGCUGUUUUGCCACCGAAAUUAGAGGAUAUGCAAUUGGAAUUCAACAAAAUAGUGAACGAGAGCCUUGUUUUCUUAUUAAAACAGACAGCAGCAUUACUUUAUGAAGGCCAGGAUAUUGCCAAAUGUUUGCAACUCAGUCAGACCAUCAUAGACUUCUCCUGGGAAAAGCUCAACAUUGGAACUUGGAGGGAUGUGGAUAAAGAGUGGCGGAGAGUCUUUUCAUGUGGCUGUCUCUUUAAGGCUGUGUGUCUGUGCAAAAAAGAGUCAGCAGUUAGAGAAGCAAUCAAAACUUGUGACAAGGGUUUGUUGAUGGGGAUGGCCAUAUUGGACAACAUUCUCAUCAGACUGGUUAAAGUCCUUCAGAAUCACAAUAAUCCCAAGAAGAGGGCUUUAGAAGAUGUUGGAUCUCAUCAGAAUUCAAGCCAAAAGAGGCUGCAGGUUGCAGUUCCUUGGAUAAAGGAGAUCCAAGCUGGAAUGGAAGUUCCAAGGAUCCGUUGUCCUUCACUGGAACAUUUCAGAGCUCAGUAUCUUGUUCCACACAAACCUGUCAUACUUCAGGGUGUUGUUGAUCAUUGGCCUGCUGUGAGGGACAGCAAGUGGAGUGUGGAAUAUAUCCAUGAGAUUGCAGGCUGUCGCACUGUCCCCGUAGAACUGGGUUCCCGCUACACGGAUGACGAAUGGUCCCAGACUCUGAUGACUGUGGGUGAAUUCAUUGACAAGUAUAUAUUGCAUCAGAAGGAAGGGAACCCCAUAGGAUAUCUAGCUCAACAUCAGCUGUUUGAGCAGAUCCCAGAGUUGAAACAGGAUAUCCAGAUACCAGAUUACUGCUGUCUAGGUGACACAGAUGAAGAUGAGAUCACCAUAAAUGCCUGGUUUGGGCCAGGGGGAACAGUUUCUCCUCUGCACCAGGAUCCACAGCACAACUUUCUGACGCAGGUGGUGGGACAAAAAUACAUUCGUCUGUAUUCACCAGAACAAAGCCCAAAGCUAUACCCCCACCCAACAAAGCUCCUGCACAACACCAGCCAGGUGGAUGUUGACCAGCCAGAUUUGGCGAAUUUUCCAGAGUUUGAGUCAGCUGAUUUCCAGGAAUGCAUCCUGAGCCCUGGAGAUGUCCUUUUUAUCCCAGUCAGCUACUGGCACUACGUAAGGUCUCUGAACAUCAGCUUCUCUGUCAGUUUUUGGUGGUCCUGAUUGUUGCUCCUGGAACGUGGAACUUCGAGGAGUGGGGAAAUGAUGUGUAAAUUCUAAAGCUGAAUGUGAAUGCAUCAGCAAUUGGCCUAACAUAUAAAAAAACUGAGCAAGAGAUUGGGAGAGACGGACACUGAAGAAAACUGCAAAAGGUGCGAGAUCAGUGAGGCAAAGCAGGCUUUGUACAGAAUUUUGAUCAUUACCAGUAAUCAAACAAUUUUCUCAGUGCAGCUGCCGGCAGCUUCUAGAUUAUACUACAUUUCAUCAUCAGGAGCAACUCAGCACCACUGGGUGCAGGUUUCUAAGAGCCCACCUCAAGGCAGCUGCUGGGGCUGAGUGGGUAAGGCAUCUUACAAAGACAUGGACAAACCCAGAGGCUUUGAAGACAAUGAGAAUUUUAAACUGCAUCAAUGGAUUUAAUGCAAAAUAUCUUUCAUUAGAUCAAUCAAAAUUAAAGGCUAAGUAUUCAGUUAAAGUAUUCAAUCGUAUUUGUAUUUUGUUAUUGUGUAUGUAUGGGGAUAAAGCUGUGAAUAACAUUUCUCUAGUUAACUUGACAGAUCUGUUUAGAAUGCAGUAAAAACCAUUUUCAUGAAAGAGUGAAGGAAAAUAAUAUUCCCACUGAGUGAGGAGAAAUAGUUUUUUCUAAGGCUAAACCUUCCCACUCGGUGUGGGUUCAGAACGAAUUGCUGCCCAAUUUAUCCCCCUCUCUUGCAUCAGCAUCAUAUGCCAAUGUGUCCUAUGCUAGGUCUCUCAUUGGAGGUGUUUGGGUUAUUGUGACCAGUUGGGAAUAUCUCUGCCGAGAUUGUUUGGCAGCUGAAUCCUAUGAUUGCCCUGCUCGCCUGGGUGUAGAAGGUUCCCUCCCUCAGUGAUUGAGGAGUGAAGUUCCCUCCUCUGACAGCAGAUUCAAUGAUUUAUCAACUCACAGUGAGAGUCUGGUGAUGCUGUUUGUCUCUGUUGUACUAACAGAGAGAGCUGCUGUAUAAUGUUGAUGUGUGAAAUGGUUUGGAAUAUUUUCAAACUUCCAAGGCAUUCACUCAGCAAACCUUUGCUUUACAUUCAGACAUGAGUUGAUUUAUGUUUGGGAGAGGAAAACCAUGAAGAUGGUAAUGAGGUUGGUGCUGAAUUGGUUUUAUUGUAUUGCUGUAAAAACUGCACAAGAAUAGUGCUGGUGUUUAAGAAUACUGUGUGAAAAUGGAAAUGGAGCUGUAUAGGAGGAAUAACUUCACAGUUGAAUAAUCUGCUAACACGUUCUUCAUUUUUUAAAUUGAAUUUGCUAAAUUGGUCACGGGCAGUGAGAUACAGUGGAAAAACUUCUCUUGCAUACUAUUUGUGUAGGCCAAUUCUUUACAACAGUGUAUUGGAAUAGUUUGAAGUAAAACAAUCACUGCAGAAUAAAGUGUUAUAGUUACAGAGAAAGUACAGUGCAAAUAGAUAAAAAGGUACAAUGUUAUAUCGAGGUAGACUGAGGUCAGGAGUCCAUCUUAUUGUAGUAGGGGAUUGUUCAAUAUAGUCUUCCAACAGCAGGAUAGAAGCUGUCCUAGAGCCUGGUGGUGCAUACUUUCAUGCUGUUGUAUCUUCUGCCCGAUAGGAGGGGGGAGAAGAGAGAAUGUCCAGGGUGGAUAGGGUCUUUGAUUAUUUUCACUGCUUUACUGAUGCAAUGAGAACUUUAGACCGUCCGUGGUUACAGUGAUCUGCUGAGCUGUGUCACAACUCUCUACAGUUUCUUGCAGUCACGGGCAGAGUAGUUGCAUACCAGACCAUGAUGCAUUGGGAUGAAAUCCCUUCUAUGGUGCAUCAAUAAAAAUUAGAGUCAAUAGGGAAUGGCAAAUUCCCUCAGCUUCCUGAGGAUGUAGAGACACUACUUGACAUGGCAUCAAUGUGGCUGAACCAGGACAGGUUAUUGGUGAUGUUCACAUGUAGGAACUACAAGCUGUCAAUCCCCUCAAUCUCAGCACCACUGGUGUAAGCAAGAGCAUGUAUCCUGACCCCUUCCUAAAAUCAGUAACCAGCUCUUCUGACCUUAAGUGAAAGGUUGUUGUCAUGACACUAUGUCAUCAGGCUCUCUACCUCCUUCCUGCACUCCAACUUGCCAUUAUUUGAGAUACGGCCCACUGCACUGGCAUCAUCUGUAAACUUGUAGCUGGAGUUAGAGAAGAAUCUGGCCAUGCAGUCAUGAGUGUACAGGCAGUAAAGUAGGGGUUUCAGGAUACAGUGUUGAGAAUAAUCAUGGUGAAAGUGUUGCUUCCUAUCCUUACAGAUUAUGGUCUGUUGGUCAGGAAGUCAAGGAUCCAGUUUCAAAGGGAGGUGUUGAUUCCCAGGUCUAGGAGUUUACUGAUAAAUUUGCUUGGAAUUAUAGAAUUGAAGGUGGAGCUGUAGUCGGUAAAACAAUAGUCUGAUGUAGGUGUCAUUACUGUCCAGGUGCUGCAGAGGGCACCAUGGUAGCAUAGAGGUUAACACCUCCAUUCUGACGCCGUCUAUAAGAAGUUUGUAUGUCAUUCCUGUGUGUGUGUGUGCGUUUACUCCUACAUUCUAAAGACAUACUAGUUAAUAAAUAUACUUUGACCAAUUAACCUAUUAUCAAUGUAUAUAUACUUUGUACAACUUUGAGAUUUGUCUCCUUACAGGCAGCCAUGAAACAAAGAACCCCAAUAGAACCCAUUAAAAAUAAAUUGUGCAAACAAUAAAGCAAGCAAACAGCAUUCAGAUCUGAAGUUGACAAAGCCAAGCAUCACUGCAGCCGAUUCAGAAGGUUUCAGUCCAGCACAGAGUCGAGCAAACCCUGCGGAGCAGCGAGCCGAACUUGCCGUUGACCCCAGCACCCCGACCAUUUCAAUCUGGCCCAAUGCUAAAAUUGUCCAAACUUCAGGUCAUUCCUCACCCUUGGGCUCAGGCUCCAUCAGCUCAAUAAGAUCUCCUCUCAAUCUCAAUGGAGAGAGAAGAGGAAGCUGAACGGUUGGUGGUGCACUGGAUGGAAGGCCAGCCAGCACCUGAUGCUGUCCUGGAUCUACUGGCCUGUAACUGUCCAAAAAAAAAAGUUCACUCCAAAGAUGUAUGUGUGUUGCAAAUGGCCUCAGGUGUACUGACAUGUGCAGACUGUGACAACCAGGCAUCCACCUCAGAGAGUGUGGAAAGUUCAGAUGAAGAUGUGGAAGACUUGGAAAAUUAUUAUGAUUAUUAAUAGGUUAUGGAAGUAUGGAAAACAUCCUUUGUUUAAAUAUAUUCAUUUUACAACCAAAUGGGGCCUAGGUUAUGGCUGUGUGGAACCCCACAUUUGAAUUACAGGUAUUGUACUUUAAUUCUAUACGCUAUGACAA